rnacentral:lncRNA from 1 species
AGAAAAGUGUGACUGAAUCUCCGUAACUGUACAAGCCAGAAGCUUUCGGAAAGUGUAUUUGUACAAAUAUCUACAAUAUUAUUUUCUGUACAUUGUAUUGGGCCAUUGGGCCAGAAUUAAAUAAAUUUACAACUGGGCUUGGCUUGGGCUGCCGUGUUGCUGUGUCUGUUUCAGUGAAUUGGGCUGCAGAUGUGGCCCAAUAACUCCAAAACCCCCUUGCAAGUUGGAGGGUGACUAAACUCCCAAUUUGAGCAUGAUAGAACGAUGCAAAAUACCAGUAAGAGGCUUGUUAAAGAUAUCCGCAAGCUGAGAGGUAGUCGAGACAUGGUGCAAAGCAAUAAGGCCUUCAUGAAUCUUGCCUCUGAUGAAAUGGCAAUCCACCUCAAUAUGUUUGGUCCGCUCAUGAAACACUGGAUUCUUUGCAAUGUGAAGUGCUUCUUGAUUAUCACAAAAGACUGAUACAGGAGUGGUAACAGGAACCCCAAAAUCAGAAAUCAAUCGAAUAAGCCAGGUGAGCUCACCAACAACCUUGCUCAUGGCUCUAUAUUCAGCCUCAACAGAAGACAGAGAUACCACAGGCUGCUUUUUAGCCUUCCAACCAAUAAGAGAAUCACCUAACAGAACACAAAAAUAAGAGACAGAUCUUCUGGUGUCUGGGCAGGAUGCCCAGUCACUAUCACAAUAAGCAGAUAAGGAGAGGUCAGGUGUGUUGCUGAGAAAAAUGCCAAGGUAAGAAGUGCCUCUAAGAUAUCUCAGGGUAUGCAAAGCUGCAUGCAUAUAAGAGGAGGUAGGCUUCUGAAGGUAUUGACUUAAAUGCUGGACAGCAAAGGCUAAGUCAGGUCUAGUGUGGGUAAGAAAGUUGAGUUUUCCCACUAAGCAGAAAAUGCCAAGGUCAGAAGUGCCUCUAAGAUAUCUCAAGGUGUGCAAAGCUGCAUGCAUAUGAGAGGAGGUAGGCUUCUGAAGAUAUUGACUUAAAUGCUGGACAACAAAGGCUAAGUCAAAUAGACAGCCAAUAAGAUAGUAGAAGAGCCAGAUUUCUUAAGAAAAAGAGAAUAGUCAUUGAGAGAAGAACAUAAGGCCUGGGAGAACUUGGCAUACCACUGCCUGGAAGCCUGCCUUAACCCAUACAAAGAUUUCUGAAGCAAACAGACCAAAGGAGAAGAAGAAGAAGUAGAACAUGCAACAUCCAGUCCAGGAUGGAGUUUCAUAUAAACUUCCUCAGCUAGGUCACCAUGUAAGAAUGCAUUAUUCACAUCAAGUUGAAAGAGAGACAAAUUCUGUUUAACAUAUACAGCAAUGAGGGAUUUGAUAUUUGAGAACUUGACAACAUGAGAAAAGGUCUCAGUGAAGUCUACCCCCUCAACUUGGGUGUCACCCCCAACAACCAGCCUCAAUGAGGGAUUUGAUAGUUGAAAAAUUGACAACAGAAGAAAAAGUCUCAGUGAAGUCUACACCCUCAACUUGGGUGUCACCCCUAACAAUCAGCCUAGCCUUAUGUAUUUCCACAGACCCAUCAGCCCUAUAUUUUAUCUUAUAGACCCAUUUGCAACCAAUAGGUCUUUUACCAGGGGGAAGGGGAACUAUAGACCAGGUAUGAUUGGCCUCCAAAGCUGCAAAUUCCUUGGUUAUUGCCUCCUGCCAGGCAGGAAUGGAAGCAGCCUGCUGGUAGGAGGUAGGCUCUGCCUCUGGAAUGCUAACCAAACUGUGAAGCCAAGUGGAAGAAGAACUGGGGCCAGAAAGAGAAGGAGGAAGAGUGCAAACAUACUGCUGCAGAUAAGCAGGAAGGACAUGUGCCCUAUUGGAUCUUCUGGGAGCAGAUGAAGCAGGCACUGAAGAAGUAUGUGAUGGAGAAGAAGGUGAGGAAGAAGGAGAGUCAAGAAGUUGAUGGGUGGAAGAAGAAGAAGGAUUGUACAGAAAGUCAUAAACAGGAGGAACCCAGGCAGAAGAAGGAUUAAGAGGAGGAAAAGAGCCAUGGUAAAAAGUCCCUGGAGAGGCAAAAGGAAAGACAUCCUCAUGAAAAAUGACAUCUCUGGAUAUCAGGGUAAGUUUAGACUUCAAGUUAUACAACUUGUAACCCUUUUUAGCCAAUGGGUAACCCAGAAAAACACAGGGAUCAGCUCUGGGCUGGAAUUUAUCUCUAUUCUGUUUAAGGACUGAGGCAAAACAUAGGCAACCAAAUGUUUUAAGGGGGUUAUAGGAUGGAAUCUGGACAAACAGCAAUUCAAAAGGGGAUUUGUUGUUAAGUAGUUUGGAAGGAAACCUGUUAAUGAGGUAGGUUGCAGUAAGCACACAAUCACCCUAAAAUCUAACGGGUAGCUGAGAAUGAAAGAGUAGAGCUCUUGAGGUUUCUAGCAGGUAUCUAUGCUUUCUCUUAACUACACCAUUUUGUUGUGGUGUGUGAGAGCAAGAAGUUUGAUGCAUUAUGCCAUGUUCAGCAAAGAAGUUGCUGCCACAGCUACUAGAGCCAAGUUCAAAUGCAUUAUCACUCCUAAUGGUUUGUACCACAGUCUGGAAUUGAGUCUUAACCAUGGCAAUGAAGGCUUUAAU